CUGAAGUUUAGUGGACUUGUCAGGGGCAU
rnacentral:piRNA from 1 species